GUCCGAGGGACCGGGCGAAGGCUGCGGGUCGUGCCUCAGCUGCUGCGCAUGCGUGUGUGGUGUUGGGUGAUGUCGGCGUUCUUCUUCUCCUUGUGUUUUCCAGCUCCUUGAUGCUCAAACUGUGCUGCAGGCACUUGUGGCAUCACCUGGGAACUAUUAGAAGUGUGGAGUUCCUGGUCCCAUUCCAGACCUGUUGAGCUAGAAUCUGCAUUCUCAGAUAAUUCCUGUUAUUGGAGUAAUGCUCUCAUGGAGAAAGGAAACUGGUUCCAAUUUAGUGUCAGUUCCAGGAUAAUCAUCCAGGGUAAUCACUUUCUCUGCCUGGCUGAGGAUGAUCCAUCUUGUGAAAGAUCAAAGAGUAAAUAUCUAUGUAGAAAGAUCUGAAGAACAUGUUGACAAGCUGGCUUGAAUCAUUUAAAUUAUUCGCACUUCUCUGUGGCUGGCAGAAGAACUUCUGCAGGCAAGAACAUAGCCGAAUGGCCUCAACAGUGAAAUAGAGUGACUCAGGAUUCCACAAAAGCUGAAGGAGAGUACACGGGACGAACACAUUUUCUGGAGGGAGCGGUAUUGGAAUCCCAAGGCGCUGGGCACGGCUCCUGAGGAAGCCUGCCAGUGCCCGUGGCUUUGGGUUAUUGAUGCUGCAAAAGUUGGUGACAGAAAGCCCUUUCCAGAAGACAGUGGCACUGUUAGCAGCAGAACUCGUGGCUGGCUCCUUCCAGCUCCCCCAAAUUUCUGGGGCACAGAGAAGCAUCACGCUGCCUUCAGCGCAGCUCUUCCCUGGGAGACGCUGGAGGGACAGUCUGCUGCCUUUGCCAGACUCAGGCCAUACCCUGCAAACUGGAGAGAUUCAAAGCUAGGGAGAUCUCCUGCUGCCUUGAGGAGGCAAACUGCUGUGUCUGGAAAAGGCUGCCUGGCAGGGAAUAGCAGACAGCUUCUACGAGUUGGAAUGGCCCCCAGCUGAUGGCCAGCAAGAAGGCAAGGAACUGAAUCUUCCCAACAAUCAGUGAACUUGGAAAAGGACUCCAAGCUUCAGCUGCCAACACUAAGGAAUUCCUAAAACAUUAUCUAUCCCUUCAAAAGAGGAUCAUAACUGUCGUGAAGCCAUCAUUUUGCAGAAAGGCCAACUUUUGCAAGAUUUUAUAUGGCUUUGCCUAAGACUGUAAGUUUUAAUACCAGCAAAAAACACCUAGCGCGUGGGGAAGUAUUUCUGCUUCUGCCUGCCGAUGCCAGAUUAAGGGACUAAAUCAGAUUAAUGUUAUUUAUUGCUUGGGAGAACACCUUUUAGUGUGACUCAGCCUUGGUCCUUAGAAGCUUUAGUAAACAUCCCUAAAUGAAGCCCCAGACCUAUGAACUGUAUAGUUUAUAUUUCUUUCCAGAUGGGAGGGGGAAAAAAAAAGAAAGCAAUAGCAAUGAUAACAAAAAAAAAAACCCUCAAUCGGGGACCAGGGGUCUCCAAUAUUCUAGGUUCUUUGGAGCAGUUGGAACUGGUGAAGGAAAGGUUUGGCAAUUGCUCAAGAAAGUGCUGCCCAUAUUUAGAAUCACCUAGUGCUGUGGGGCAUUCAGCCCGCAAAACUAAAUUUAAAUUAAUAUAAACAACAAAACAAGCAUCUAAAAAAAAAAGAAGGGUGGGGAAUGAAACCACUCCAAGAGUCAUUAAAGAUGCAUCUGUUUAUCCCCGUCCGAGGUCCAUGAGUCCAGGAUGAUUCAUAAGCUUUUUGUGAAGAAAAUAUCCAUUGUUGUGGCAAAAUUAAAUGUAUUUUGAUCUUUGCUGGCAAUAUUUAUCUAUCUGUUCAAUCAGAAAAAAAGUUGUUCUCAUCACCAUAACAUAUAUUACUUUUUCAAUUUCCUCUUUGUAAUGCUUUUUUAGUGUUCUUUAGGGUGAGACCAUGGCAUUUCUCAUUUCUCACAACAAAGACCGUAACUCAUUAGAAUGAUGCUGAUGAAUUUUUCUCAUAAAAUGGCAUCCUCAUUUUCAGAGGUGACCAGUCUGCCUUCUUACCCCUAACCAGCAGGCAGGUUUGAAUGGAUGUAAUUAGAAAGGGCCACUGAACUCAUCCUAUGGUGGUGUCUCAUAGUUCUGGGCUUCCUAUUUUAGAUGUCUGUGUGUGUGUGUGUGUGUGUGUGUGUGGACUCUAGCACCUCACAUUUGGUCCUGGAAAAAUGUAAUUCAUCAUUGUGAAUAAACCACCACUCUAUUGAUUUUUCAACUGACCUGUUCUAAGCUCAAUAGUUUAUAAUUUAGGGGUCCCUGGGUGGCUCAGUCGGUUUAAGCCUCCGACUCUUGA